rnacentral:rRNA from 1 species
GAACGCUAGCGGCAGGCCUAACACAUGCAAGUCGAGGGAGAAGCCCUUUCGGGGGCAGAAACCGGCGCACGGGUGCGUAACGCGUAUGCAACCUACCUUUCACAGGGGGAUAGCCCGAAGAAAUUUGGAUUAAUACCCCAUAAUAUUAUUGGAUGGCAUCAUUUGAUAAUUAAAACUGCGGUGGUGAAAGAUGGGCAUGCGUCCUAUUAGCUAGUUGGAGUGGUAACGGCACCCCAAGGCUACGAUAGGUAGGGGUCCUGAGAGGGAGAUCCCCCACACUGGUACUGAGACAGGGACCAGACUCCUACGGGAGGCAGCAGUGAGGAAUAUUGGUCAAUGGUCGGAAGACUGAACCAGCCAUGCCGCGUGCAGGAAGAAUGCCUUAUGGGUUGUAAACUGCUUUUAUAUGGGAAGAAUAAGGCGUACGUGUACGUUGAUGACGGUACCAUAUGAAUAAGCAUCGGCUAACUCCGUGCCAGCAGCCGCGGUAAUACGGAGGAUGCGAGCGUUAUUCGGAAUCAUUGGGUUUAAAGGGUCUGUAGGCGGGCUAUUAAGUCAGGGGUGAAAGGUUUCAGCUUAACUGAGAAAUUGCCUUUGAUACUGGUAGUCUUGAAUAUCUGUGAAGUUCUUGGAAUGUGUAGUGUAGCGGUGAAAUGCUUAGAUAUUACACAGAACACCGAUUGCGAAGGCAGGGGACUAACAGACAAUUGACGCUGAGAGACGAAAGCGUGGGGAGCGAACAGGAUUAGAUACCCUGGUAGUCCACGCUGUAAACGAUGGAUACUAGCUGUUUGGCGCAAGCUGAGUGGCUAAGCGAAAGUGAUAAGUAUCCCACCUGGG